rnacentral:lncRNA from 1 species
GACCCUAGAUCACACCUCCAGGAGACAGGAGACAACAUCUUAACACUUUUCACCAUGCAUCCUCCUCUUGAAUCAGAGUGGACUAUUUGUAACUUUCGCCAGGUGCAAUGUUGAAGAGGAACUCCCACCCUCGAAUGAACGGAGGAGACCUCCAUAAAUCCAGGGACUUGCACGGCAAAAGGCAUCUCAAAGACCAACUGUUGAUACCCUCUUGUUAGAGACAUACAGAGGUUAGGUGCCUGUCUCGAGGUCACAUGGCUAAGAUGCCAAAAUGGAAACUGAAAACCACAUUUUC